rnacentral:rRNA from 1 species
CCUACGGGUGGCAGCAGUGAGGAAUAUUGGUCAAUGGACGAGAGUCUGAACCAGCCAAGUAGCGUGAAGGAUGACUGCCCUAUGGGUUGUAAACUUCUUUUAUAUGGGAAUAAAACGUUCCACGUGUGGGAUUUUGUAUGUACCAUAUGAAUAAGGAUCGGCUAACUCCGUGCCAGCAGCCGCGGUAAUACGGAGGAUCCGAGCGUUAUCCGGUUUUAUUGGGUUUAAAGGGAGCGUAGGUGGAUUGUUAAGUCAGUUGUGAAAGUUUGCGGCUCAACCGUAAAAUUGCAGUUGAAACUGGCAGUCUUGAGUACAGUAGAGGUGAGCGGAAUUCGUGGUGUAGCGGUGAAAUGCUUAGAUAUCACGAAGAACUCCGAUUGCGAAGGCAGUUCACUGGACUGCAACUGACACUGAGGCUCGAAAGUGUGGGUAUCAAACAGGAUUAGAUACCCUUGUAGUC